rnacentral:rRNA from 1 species
ACUCCUACGGGAGGCAGCAGUAGGGAAUUUUCCGCAAUGGACGAAAGUCUGACGGAGCAAUGCCGCGUGAGUGAUGAAGGUUUUCGAAUCGUAAAGCUCUGUUGUAAGGGAAGAAUAGCAAGAAUAGGAAAUGAUUCUUGUCUGACGGUACCUUACCAGAAAGCCACGGCUAACUACGUGCCAGCAGCCGCGGUAAUACGUAGGUGGCAAGCGUUAUCCGGAAUUAUUGGGCGUAAAGCGCAUGUAGGCGGCUUUUUAAGUCUGAUGUGAAAGCCAGUGGCUCAACCACUGAAUUGCAUUGGAUACUGGAAAGCUAGAAUCUUGGAGAGGUAAGUGGAAUUUCAUGUGUAGCGGUGGAAUGCGUAGAGAUCUGAAGGAAUACCGGUGGCGAAGGCGGCCCCCUGGACAGAUACUGACACUCAGAUGCGAAAGCGUGGGGAGCAAACAGGAUUAGAUACCCUGGUAGCGAGUAG